rnacentral:lncRNA from 1 species
UCUUGUUUUUUUCCAUUUCACUUUAUUAACCAGCACACAGGAGAAUGAAUACAAAUUAAAUGCUAAAACCAAAAAGAUGAAGGCUACAAUUUUCCAAGGCAGUUGGUAUCAUCACCGUACCAUCAAUGUGCUAAGAAAGUGACUUCAGUAAUUGCUUUGCUGAGCACUCUAAAGAUUCUACUCUAUCCAUUCAGGUAUAUUAUUAAGAUUCCAUUCCUGCUCCCGUUUUUUGCAUGUGCAGUACUUCAAUGGCUCCUGAAUUGUAUAUUUUCUCUUGAGGCAGAAGAGUUGAGUCAACAGUGCCCUCCAGUGGUGGACAGAGCACAUUGUUUUUGUCACACUAGCCAGUUUCAGUGGUGCAGUACAAUUAAUAUAUUAAAUUGUACAAUGAAUACAUUAAAGACAUGAAAAAUAUGAAACAUGGGGUUUAGAAAGAAAAGAGAAAAAAAACACUUCAUGCUCCACAUAUAAGCCUAACCGUAGGAGCAUAUAGAACAUACUAUGAGGGUUUGAACAUUAGACAAUAAAACAACAACCUAUAAUAACCAUGAAACAACACGCAAGUCAAAAGUACAUUUUGUGAGAGUUAAUAAAAUGCACAGAGCUACAUAGAGGUAAACAGAGCUACAUAGUGAGUCAUUGUAUUAUCAAAUGGGAAUAAAUCUAAAGCCACAGGCGUACUUAUUCUUGAUUGGACAUCACUGCUACAUCAAUAUCAGUGCUACAAGCUUGCACUCAUAUCCAAGGCUGUGCAAGCGUGAUACGAGGGGCUGCUAUUGAAGAAACUUGUCAGCAAAGGCCGGCUCCAUGUAACAGCCCACUUCCAACAGGAGCACCUCCCCUAGUCUAUACCAUAAUGAAGAGGUAAAACUGGCCUCCCCUAGUCUAUACCAUAAUGAAGAGGUAAAACUGGCCUCCCCUAGUCUAUACCAUAAUGAAGAGGUAAAACUGGCCUCCCCUAGUCUAUACCAUAAUGAAGAGGUAAAACUGGCCUCCCCUAGUCUAUACCAUAAUGAAGAGGUAAAACUGG